UACGAAGGGGGCUAGCGUUGCUCGGAAUUACUGGGCGUAAAGCGCACGUAGGCGGCUUUCUAAGUCGGAGGUGAAAUCCUGGAGCUCAACUCCAGAACUGCCUUCGAUACUGGAGAGCUUGAAUACCGGAGAGGAUGGCGGAAUUCCCCAAGUAGAGGUGAAAUUCGUAGAUAUGGGGAGGAACACCGGUGGCGAAGGCGGCCAUCUGGACGGCUAUUGACGCUGAGACGCGAAAAGCGUGGGGGAGCAAACAGG
rnacentral:rRNA from 1 species